ACGGGGCCCGCACAAGCGGAGGAACAUGUGGUUUAAUUCGAUGAUACGCGAGGAACCUUACCUGGGCUUAAAUGGGGAGUGACAGCUGUCGAAAGAUGGUUUUCUUCGGACACUCUUCAAGGUGCUGCAUGGUUGUCGUCAGCUCGUGCCGUGAGGUGUCGGGUUAAGUCCCAUAACGAGCGCAACCCUUACCGUUAGUUACCAUCAGGUUAAGCUGGGGACUCUAGCGGGACUGCCACCGUAAGGUGAGAGGAAGGUGGGGAUGACGUCAAAUCAGCACGGCCCUUAUGUCCAGGGCUACACACGUGUUACAAUGGCCAGUACAAAGGGCAGCUACCGGGUGACCGGAUGCUAAUCUCUAAAGCUGGUCUCAGUUCGGAUCGAAGUCUGCAACCCGACUUCGUGAAGCUGGAUUCGCUAGUAAUCGCCGCACUCAGCCAUGGCGCGGUCGAAUACGUUCCCGGGCCUU
rnacentral:rRNA from 1 species